rnacentral:rRNA from 1 species
GACGAACGCUGGCGGCGUGCUUAACACAUGCAAGUCGAACGGAAAGGCCCUGCUUUUGUGGGGUUCUCGAGUGGCGAACGGGUGAGUAACACGUGAGUAACCUGCCCUUGACUUUGGGAUAACUUCAGGAAACUGGGGCUACUACCGGAUAGGAGCUCCUGCUGCAUGGUGGGGGUUGGAAAGUUUCGGCGGUUGGGGAUGGACUCGCGGCUUAUCAGCUUGUUGGUGGGGUAGUGGCUUACCAAGGCUUUGACGGGUAGCCGGCCUGAGAGGGUGACCGGCCACAUUGGGACUGAGAUACGGCCCAGACUCCUACGGGAGGCAGCAGUGGGGAAUAUUGCACAAUGGGCGGAAGCCUGAUGCAGCAACGCCGCGUGCGGGAUGACGGCCUUCGGGUUGUAAACCGCUUUCGCCUGUGACGAAGCGUGAGUGACGGUAAUGGGUAAAGAAGCACCGGCUAACUACGUG